rnacentral:rRNA from 1 species
CACGUAGUUAGCCGGGGCUUUCUUCUCAGGUACCGUCACUCUUAGAGCAGUUACUCUCUAAGACGUUCUUCCCUGGCAACAGAGCUUUACGAUCCGAAAACCUUCAUCACUCACGCGGCGUUGCUCCGUCAGACUUUCGUCCAUUGCGGAAGAUUCCCUACUGCUGCCUCCCGUAGGAGUCUGGGCCGUGUCUCAGUCCCAGUGUGGCCGUUCACCCUCUCAGGUCGGCUACGCAUCGUCGCCUUGGUGAGCCAUUACCUCACCAACUAGCUAAUGCGCCGCAGGCCCAUCCAUAAGUGACAGAUUGCUCCGUCUUUCAUGAUUCUCUCAUGCGAGAAAACCAGCUAUCCGGUAUUAGCUACCGUUUCCGGUAGUUAUCCCAGUCUUACAGGCAGGUUGCCUACGUGUUACUCACCCGUCCGCCGCUAACUUUCAGAGAAGCAAGCUUCUCUGAAAGUCCGCUCGACUUGCAUGUAUUAGGCACGCCGCC